UGUGGGGGUACAGGUUAGUACCAAGUCAGUGUGUGGGGGUACAGGUUAGUACCAAGUCAGUGUGUGGGGGUACAGGUUAGUACCAAGUCAGUGUGUGGGGGUACAGGUUAGUACCAAGUCAGUGUGUGGGGGUACAGGUUAGUACCAAGUCAGUGUGUGGGGGUACAGGUUAGUACCAAGUCAGUGUGUGGGGGUACAGGUUAGUACCAAGUCAGUGUGUGGGGGUACAGGUUAGUACCAAGUCAGUGUGUGGGGGUACAGGUUAGUACCAAGUCAGUGUGUGGGGGUACAGGUUAGUACCAAGUCAGUGUGUGGGGGUACAGGUUAGUACCAAGUCAGUGUGUGGGGGUACAGGUUAGUACCAAGUCAGUGUGUGGGGGUACAGGUUAGUACCAAGUCAGUGUGUGGGGGUACAGGUUAGUACCAAGUCAGUGUGUGGGGGUACAGGUUAGUACCAAGUCAGUGUGUGGGGGUACAGGUUAGUACCAAGUCAGUGUGUGGGGG